rnacentral:rRNA from 1 species
AUGAACGCUAGCGACAGGCUUAACACAUGCAAGUCGAGGGGCAGCGGGGGUAGCAAUACCCGCCGGCGACCGGCGCACGGGUGAGUAACGCGUAUGCAACUUACCUAUCAGAGGGGGAUAACCCGGCGAAAGUCGGACUAAUACCGCAUGAAGCAGGGGCCCCGCAUGGGGAUAUUUGCUAAAGAUUCAUCGCUGAUAGAUAGGCAUGCGUUCCAUUAGGCAGUUGGCGGGGUAACGGCCCACCAAACCGACGAUGGAUAGGGGUUCUGAGAGGAAGGUCCCCCACAUUGGUACUGAGACACGGACCAAACUCCUACGGGAGGCAGCAGUGAGGAAUAUUGGUCAAUGGGCGCGAGCCUGAACCAGCCAAGUCGCGUGAGGGAUGAAGGUUCUAUGGAUCGUAAACCUCUUUUAUAAGGGAAUAAAGUGCGGGACGUGUCCUGUUUUGUAUGUACCUUAUGAAUAAGGAUCGGCUAACUCCGUGCCAGCAGCCGCGGUAAUACGGAGGAUCCGAGCGUUAUCCGGAUUUAUUGGGUUUAAAGGGUGCGUAGGCGGCCUUUUAAGUCAGCGGUGAAAGUCUGUGGCUCAACCAUAGAAUUGCCGUUGAAACUGGGGGGCUCGAGUAUGUUUGAGGCAGGCGGAAUGCGUGGUGUAGCGGUGAAAUGCUUAGAUAUCACGCAGAACCCCGAUUGCGAAGGCAGCCUGCCAAGCCAUGACUGACGCUGAUGCACGAAAGCGUGGGGAUCAAACAGGAUUAGAUACCCUGGUAGUCCACGCAGUAAACGAUGAUCACUAGCUGUUUGCGAUACAGUGUAAGCGGCACAGCGAAAGCGUUAAGUGAUCCACCUGGGGAGUACGCCGGCAACGGUGAAACUCAAAGGAAUUGACGGGGGCCCGCACAAGCGGUGGAGCAUGUGGUUUAAUUCGAAGCAACGCGAAGAACCUUACCAGGUCUUGACAUCCCGAUGCUAUUUCUAGAGAUAGAAAGUUACUUCGGUACAUCGGUGACAGGUGGUGCAUGGUUGUCGUCAGCUCGUGUCGUGAGAUGUUGGGUUAAGUCCCGCAACGAGCGCAACCCUUACUGUCAGUUACUACGCAAGAGGACUCUGGCAGGACUGCCGUUGACAAAACGGAGGAAGGUGGGGAUGACGUCAAAUCAGCACGGCCCUUACAUCCGGGGCGACACACGUGUUACAAUGGCGUGGACAAAGGGAUGCCACCUGGCGACAGGGAGCGAAUCCCCAAACCACGUCUCAGUUCGGAUCGGAGUCUGCAACCCGACUCCGUGAAGCUGGAUUCGCUAGUAAUCGCGCAUCAGCCAUGGCGCGGUGAAUACGUUCCCGGGCCUUGUACACACCGCCCGUCACACCAUGGGAGUGGGUUGCAAAAGAAGUAGGUAGCUUAACCUUCGGGAGGGCGCUUACCACUUUGUGAUUCAUGACUGGGGUG